GACGAACGCUGGCGGCGUGCUUAACACAUGCAAGUCGAACGGAAAGGCCCCCUUGUGGGGUACUCGAGUGGCGAACGGGUGAGUAACACGUGAGUAACCUACCCUUUACUUUGGGAUAACUUCAGGAAACUGGGGCUAAUACCGGAUAGGAGCUCCUGCUGCAUGGUGGGGGUUGGAAAGUUUCGGCGGUUGGGGAUGGACUCGCGGCUUAUCAGCUUGUUGGUGGGGUAGUGGCUCACCAAGGCUUUGACGGGUAGCCGGCCUGAGAGGGUGACCGGCCACAUUGGGACUGAGAUACGUCCCAGACUCCUACGGGAGGCAGCAGUGGGGAAUAUUGCACAAUGGGCGGAAGCCUGAUGCAGCAACGCCGCGUGCGGGAUGACGGCCUUCGGGUUGUAAACCGCUUUCGCCUGUGACGAAGCGUGAGUGACGGUAAUGGGUAAAGAAGCACCGGCUAACUACGUG
rnacentral:rRNA from 1 species